AAGCCGGCGCAGGCCUUCGCAAGAUGGCGGCUGGAGGCAAGAGCAGAAGCCUUCAGAGCGUUUUCUUUUUCCCUUUCCUCCCUUCCUGCAAACAAAGCGGCUACAGUUUACCUGGAAGUGACAAACUGAGGAAACUGAGGAACUGGAAGAUGAAGGCUACAGAGGUAGAAAGUGGUGGAAGAGAUACAUCCAGAAAACUGCAUUACAAUUUCAAAUCAAAGCUGGACAAGUUUUUUUUUUUUUUACACAGACAUCACCAUGUUAGAAAAGUUGGACAAGUUUUGAAACCAUUCUGAACCUAUCAUUCCUAUCUUUCAAAUCCUUCCAAGGCAUCUUAUUAUUGAUUUGUUUCUAUAUUUUCCUCAUUAUUAAAGAGGUUGAGUAUCUUUUCUCUAGAGCUAGUUUGGGUUCUGAUUUUCUUCACUUUCCUGAUGGAGUCAUUUUAGAAUUGAAGGGCAUCAUAGCAACUGAGGCAGUGUUAACAUCAUCAAUAUUUUAGGAUUACAGGUAACCAUAUUUCCUAGUUUGCUUGGGACAAGGCCAGUUUGUACCUCUUGUCCUAGCAUUUUUUUUUUUUUUUUUUGAGACAGAGUCUCGCUCUGUCGCCCAGGUUGGAGUGCAGUGGCAUGAUCUCAGCUCACUGCAACCUCCACCUCCCAGGUUCAAGUGAUCUUCCUGCCUCAGCCUCCCGAGUAGCUGGUAUUACAGGCACGCACCACCACGCCUGGCAAAUUUUUGUAUUUUUAGUAGACACGGGGUUUCGCCAUGUUGGCCAGUCUGGUAUCAAACUCCUGACCUCAAGUGAUCCCCCCGGCUCGGCCUCCCACGAUGAUGGGAUUACAGGCGUGAGUCACCGUGCCUGGCCCUAGUAUAUUUUAUAAUAGCAUUGCAUUCAAUCUCAAAAGUGUGGGAGUUUUGAUGAAAAAUUAUAUGGUGGUCAUUUAUUAUCUGAAAUACACAUCAAAAUACCACUAUUGCCAUUUUGCUCUGGUAUCUUCAUCAGUGGGUGCAGGAUUGUCAUGAAGGCGGGGGGCGGGGGGGUUGUUCUGCUUCCUUCUCUGUUGUGUCCCCAGAGCCCAGAACAGUGCCCAGCACCCAGUAAGUGCUUAAUGAAUAUGAAUGCAUCUGCACAUAAAUUCAUUUCUUGGGGCUUGGCACAUUGCCACUUGAACAAAUGGAUUCUAUUAACAAGGAGUAUGGAGCAAUGAUUUUGGGGUACACAACUCAUGGUGCCUGCCAAAACAUGCGCUUUAGAUUUUGAUAGAUAUUGUCAAGUUGUUCUCCACAGGGGUUGAGCCAGUUUACACUCCCACCAGCAAUAUGUGAGAGCAUCUGUUUCUCUAACCUUCACCCACAUGGUGUUAUCAAAAUUUUUAUCUGUGCCAAUCUGGUAGUUUAAAUUUGCAUUUUCCUUAUUAUGGAAAGAUAGAGCAUACUUUCAUAUGUUUAAAAGCCAUUUGAAAUUUCUAAGAACUGUCUGUUCAUAUCCUCUGCCCAUUUUUUUUUUUUUUCAGUGAAUUACUGGUCUUUUUCUUAUCAAUCUAUAGGAAUACAAAUAGUUGUUCCAAGGUUUUCAUGCCUUUUGAGUUUGUUUCUGGUGUUGUUAGUAAGCAGAAUUUAAAACAUGUAUUUAUAUUUAGCUUCUUUCCUUUUAUUGCAUCUAUAUUUUGCAUCAUGCUUAGAAAGGCUUUCCCAGAUUGUAAAAUAAUUCUCCCAUAUUUUCUUGUCUUACUUUCAAGUUUUCAUUUUUUUCACAUAUAAGUCUUGAUCUAUCUGAAAUUUAUUUUGGUGUAAGAUUUGAGAUAUGAAUAAAAUCUAAUACUGUUU
rnacentral:lncRNA from 1 species